UUCUUCAGUUAUGGAAUGAUUUAUCCUAGCAAAUUGUUGAGGUGUGUGCGCUAUUUAUCAACGACUGCAUGCUGGCCUCGUCAACAAUCUUCAAAGUGAGCGACGGAAAGAAAACAUUUUCCAGUUUUAAAAUAUUAAGCGUUCAUCACAACACUGCCACAAACCAACGCACUGGAUUACGCUAAGAACCUGUCGAAACGCGCGCAGCCCAGCGUCAUUACUUAACAGAAGUCGGUUCAACACUCGCAGCUCCUGUUCAUGACGUCAUCACUAAACUGAAGCCAGCUGAACACGCAGCACGGAUAGUACCCCGAGCGCGGUAGGAGGAAGGAAGAACGAGAGGAGGAAGAACGGUAAAUUUAGAAGGGGGAUAGUGUUCUGCCGCCUACACAGCGUGGGUAUGCCAAAACACAUGUGGGAAGGGAGAGCUAUAUUAUUCAAUAAACAGCAUGCGAGUGUGUG